rnacentral:rRNA from 1 species
UACGUAGGGUGCAAGCGUUGUCCGGAAUUAUUGGGCGUAAAGAGCUCGUAGGCGGUCUGUCGCGUCGGCUGUGAAAACUCGGGGCUCAACCCCGAGCCUGCAGUCGAUACGGGCAGACUAGAGUGCUGUAGGGGAGACUGGAAUUCCUGGUGUAGCGGUGAAAUGCGCAGAUAGUCAGGAGGAACACCGGUGGCGAAGGCGGGUCUCUGGGCAGUAACUGACGCUGGAGGAGCGAAAGCGUGGGGAGCGAACAGG